rnacentral:sRNA from 1 species
CACAGAAGAGGUUCGACUAAGAAUGUCACGUCAUGUAAGAACGUCGAACGACCCUGCGUCGUGCAGG